UAAAUCACUUAAAAAACACAGUCAAAUAUACUUGCGAUACUUGUGGAUUACCACUGAUCACAAGAUGCUCAGUCAGAAAUGUUGUCAUAAACCACAAGUUUUCCUCAAACUCGGUGGCAGGAUCGAAUUCACUCGAACGCACCCAACUCAAAUGUCGCUUGAGCUGCAUGCCAGUGAUGUGAACUGAAGCAAGUACAAGAGCUGUGCCUUUCGACUUCAAAAGCUAAAGAUGGAGCAAUUGGACAAGACAACACAGUCGCUUCUGGAAGCUGCACAGGCCAUUGCCUUGUUGGAGGCGCUCCCAAAAAUGUUCCCUUACCCC